rnacentral:rRNA from 1 species
GACGAACGCUGGCGGCGUGCUUAACACAUGCAAGUCGAACGGAAAGGCCCUGCUUUCGUGGGGUGCUCGAGUGGCGAACGGGGGAGUAACACGUGAGUAACCUGCCCUUGACUUUGGGAUAACUUCAGGAAACUGGGGCUAAUACCGGAUAGGAGAUCCUGCUGCAUGGAGGGGGUUGGAAAGUUUCGGCGGUUGGGGAUGGACUCGCGGCUUAUCAGCUUGUUGGUGGGGUAGUGGCUUACCAAGGCUUGGACGGGUAGCCGGCCUGAGAGGGUGACCGGCCACAUUGGUCCUGCGGGAGGGCCCAGACUCCUACGGGAGGCAGCAGGGGGGAAUAUUGCACAAUGGGCGGAAGCCUGAUGCGGCAACGCCGCGUUCGUGAUGACGUCCUUCGGGUUGUAAACCGCUUUCGCCUGUGACGAAGCGUGAGUGACGGUAAUGGGUAAAGAAGCACCGGCUAACUACGUG